CUUAUUUUCAGAUUCCUGCUGCUCCAGUAGCUCAGAUAGACUUCUCCUCAGCAAAAUAAUAAUAAAAAAAAGCUUGACAGUUCCAUUGAAGGCAGGACAACUAGAAACAAGGUUGGGAAAUCACUUCCAGUUCCAUGCCCAAGAGUGAAGAGAGGGUCAGAGACAUAUGCUAGUUUUUUUGCAACAUUAAGCAAAAACUUCCAAAGGAGUGCAGCAUUGAUGGCUAGGGAGCCUUACCACAAAGAUUUCAUUCCCGUAUCUAGCAUGCUUCCUAAAACUCUUCUUGAAUACAGAACACCAGACACACUGCAGUUACCCCCCAAAGAGCUUGGAGAGCUAUGCCAGGAUUUCAAGCUAGAAGAGCUCACCCUGUCCCAGGUCCAGGCUGUAGAGAGGGCAACUCGGAGUCAGAGUGCAGGCAGGACUUGGUUUAGACAAAGAGCUGGGCGCAUAACUGCCUCUAAGCUUAAACAAGUACUAAAGACCAACCCCCAGCAACCAUCAACGAGUUUGAUCAAGGCCAUAUGCUACCCAGAAGCAUAAAGGUUCACCACAGCCGCUACAAGUUAUGGAUGCAAACAUGAGGCACAAGCCAGAGGAGCAUAUGAGAAGCUGAUGGGUCGGGAGCAUGCUGGCUUCUCCUGUAUGGACAGUGGUCUCUGGCUGAACCCCAAGUGGCCAUACAUGGGAUCCUCUCCUGAUGGGAUUGUCGCUUGUGACUGUCACGGAACUGGCAUCUGUGAAAUUAAGUGCCCAUACUCUCACCAAGAUGAAGCCAAUCUACGUUUGUGUGCUGGGAGAAAGGGCUUCUGCCUUAUCAACGAUGGGGAUCAUGUCAUGCUGGACCGGAGUCAUGAUUACUACUUCCAAGUUCAGGCACAGCUUCACAUUGUAGAUGCAGAGUACUGUGACUUUGUUGUGUGGAACCACAAUGACAUUUUUGUGGAAAGGAUUUUGCCUGAUUUUGAACUUUGGGAUGAUGUGAUUCCUAAAGUUGAGUGUUUUUUUAGAAACAGUGUACUUCCAGAAAUACUGGGACAGCAAGUUACAAACGUACAUGUGUA